AUAGGCGAAAGCUGGACAGGGUUACUCUGAGUGAUUUCCGUUAAGGAGAUCUUUUGGCGCCUCUAGAAAUGGUGCGGAAUAAGGGGUGGGCAAGUCUGGGGUCAGCCGCCGCGGUAAUACCAGCACCCCGAGUGGUCGGGACGUUUA
rnacentral:rRNA from 1 species